GCAGCAGCGACUCUAAAGGCAGCCCCAGGCUGGCUAAAGCGGUUCCUGGUAUGGAAACCUAGGCCCGCGAGUGCCCGGGCCCAGCCCGGCCUAGUUCAGCCUUCAUCAAAGGCAUCCUGUUUCAUUUGUCACCAAUGUCAGUCUGGCACUUUCAGUUCACCUGGAGAGUGACCACUUCCACAUGGCCAUUGGCACAGGCCAAAUGUAAAGCAGUCGUGUUCAUCCACAGAUGAAGGAAUACAGAAACUCCAGGAUAUUUGCACAAUGGAAUACUCUUCAGCCAUCAAACUUUAGGACAUCACCCCACUUCCAGCAACGUGGAGAGAGACCUGUUCAUCCACAGAUGAAGGGAUACAGAAACUGUAGUAUUCAUUCACAAUGGAAUACCCUUCAGCUGUGCACAUAUACUGAAAUCAUAUCACCUGGAGCCACACAGUUGAACCUGUUCAUCCCUUGAUGAAGGGAUGACAAAACUGAAAUAUAUAUCCAGAAUGGAAUACCCUUCCACGACAGAAGUGGAUGAAAUCCUGUCAUUUGCAGCCAUGUGGAGAAACCUGUUCAUCCGCAGAUGAAGGGAUAAAGAAACUGUAGUAUAUAUACACAAAUGGAAUACUCUUCAUCCAGAAAAAUGUAAUGAAAUUACAUCAUUUGCAGCCACACUGUUGAACCUAGAGGACAUCAUGGUAAAUGACCUGUCCUGUCCACCCACAGCUGAAGGGAUAAAGAAACCACCAUACAGAUACACUAUGGAAUAUGCUUCAGCCAUAAAGCUUUGGGAAAUCCUGUCAUCCACAGCCAUGUGGAGAAACCCAAGAAACCCAGAGGAUAUUAGGUCCAAGGAAAUGAGCCUGGUAGAGGAAGUCCCACACCUUUUAAUCUCAGGCAUGGAGAUUCCAAAAACUUUAUCUCCUGUCCAUCUACAGAUGAAGGGAUCAAGAAACUGUAAUGUAUAUGCACAAAGAAUACUCUUUGGCCAUCAAAAUAACUAAACCAUGUCAUUUGGAGCAACAAAGCCACUGCGGCCUCCAUUUGGGCCAAGCUCUGACUGCAAUGAUGCCUCUGCCCCGACCCGGGCCUCGCUGUGACUGACAAUGCCGCUGCAUCUUUUCAGCAGUCAUUGAUGAGGAAGUAUCUACAUCCUCCUUCCCACUACCAGAUUUUGCUUGGAGAAAAGCAGUUUCCUGAAAUAAUUCUGUGACGAGCUUCUUCCACAUUAGGACAAAAAUGCUGGAAGCGGCUCAGCCCCAGGGCAGCACAUCAGAGACACCAUGGAACACAGCCAUUCCUCUGCCGUCGUGCUGGGACCAGUCUUUCCUGACCAAUAUCACCUUCUUGAAGGUUCUUCUCUGGUUGGUCCUGCUGGGACUGUUUGUGGAACUGGAAUUUGGCCUGGCAUAUUUUGUCCUGUCCUUGUUCUAUUGGAUGUACGUCGGGACACGAGGCCCUGAAGAGAAGAAAGAGGGAGAGAAGAGCGCCUACUCUGUGUUCAAUCCAGGCUGUGAAGCCAUCCAGGGCACCCUGACUGCAGAGCAGUUGGAGCGCGAGUUACAGUUGAGACCCCUGGCAGGGAGAUAGGACCCAGCUGUGCUGUCAUGCAGCUAACCUCUGAUGUGGUCUUCCUCACCAUUGGCUAUGGAUUUGAUUUCAGGUGUAUAGGACUAAGGGCAGCUUGCGGGUUAGCUCUGUGACUGCAUAGUUUUUCUACCUUCUUUCCCUGAUCUUUUGCUGCCAUUUGAUCUUUGAUAGUUUUGGUGAAACUCUCUAAAAUACAUUCACUGUGGGUCCGACGCAAUUUAUAAAAAUUAUGUACUCAAGAAGGGAGACCUGUUUGUUUCAUUUCUCAUCUGUUUGGGAGAUGAUUUUAGAGCACUAGAAAGGCACUGGGGAGAUUCUCAGCUUAAAACAUCCAGCAGUUUGAAGUAUGAUUAGGUACAUCAGGGCUGCAUUGUCAAUGUUCUCUUUAAGUCUUUUAACAUUUAUAGCAAUUUUUUUUUUCCCGGAGAGUUUAGGUUGCAAGUUUUGGGUUUCUUGUUUGUUUUUGUUUUGCUUCCUGCUUUAAUUCUUUAAUUUUCAGUCAUUACUGGUAUUGAAAAAUAAAAUAUCUUUAAAACA
rnacentral:lncRNA from 1 species